rnacentral:rRNA from 1 species
AACGCGAAGAACCUUACCCAGGCUUGACAUGCAGAUGACGAUUACAGAGAUGUAAUUUCCCUUUGGGGCGUCUGCACAGGUGCUGCAUGGCUGUCGUCAGCUCGUGCCGUGAGGUGUUUGGUUAAGUCCAGCAACGAGCGCAACCCUUAUCAUUAGUUGCCAACACUAUGGGUGGGAACUCUAAUGAGACUGCCUGGGUUAACCAGGAGGAAGGUGAGGAUGACGUCAAGUCCGCAUGGCCCUUAUGUCUGGGGCUACACACGUGCUACAAUGGUCGGUACAGAAGGCAGCGAAACCGCGAGGCGGAGCAAAUCCCGAAAGCCGAUCUCAGUUCAGAUUGUAGUCUGCAACUCGACUACAUGAAGACGGAAUUGCUAGUAAUGGUGGGUCAGCAACACCACCGUGAAUACGUUCCCGGGCCUUGUACACACCGCUAGUC